UACGUAGGGUGCGAGCGUUGUCCGGAAUUACUGGGCGUAAAGAGCUCGUAGGUGGUUUGUCGCGUUGUUCGUGAAAUCUCACGGCUUAACUGUGAGCGUGCGGGCGAUACGGGCAGACUAGAGUACUGCAGGGGAGACUGGAAUUCCUGGUGUAGCGGUGGAAUGCGCAGAUAUCAGGAGGAACACCGGUGGCGAAGGCGGGUCUCUGGGCAGUAACUGACGCUGAGAAGCGAAAGCGUGGGGAGCGAACAGG
rnacentral:rRNA from 1 species